AUUCUGAGGUGAUACUUGGUGGAUACUUAUUCUCAACUAAAGCCGCACGGUUGCGCUGUUUCUCUUCCGUACGAUUCAAGAGGAAGAAGAAAAAAGGAAAAGCCGAGGCAGGCUGGUGAGGAAUGAGGACGACCCACUGCUGCUCUCCUCUCUCCCGUCCAGACACACACACCACUUACCCCAGUCGGCCAGCGAGUUAGCUGCUUCCGUUUGUUUUGGACAACAUGUCAAGCACAACCGGCGGCGGGGAGUUUGGCAACCCUCUACGGAAGUUUAAGCUCGUCUUCCUGGGCGAGCAGAGCGUUGGGAAGACCUCGCUCAUCACCAGGUUCAUGUAUGACAGCUUUGACAACACUUACCAGGCAACAAUUGGUAUCGACUUCUUGUCAAAAACCAUGUACCUAGAAGAUCGCACGAUUCGGCUGCAGCUCUGGGACACGGCGGGACAGGAGCGUUUCCGCAGCCUCAUCCCGAGCUACAUCCGAGACUCUGCCGCCGCAGUGGUGGUUUAUGACAUAGCCAAUCUAAACUCCUUCCAACAAACCUCAAAGUGGAUCGAUGACGUGCGAACGGAGCGAGGAAGCGACGUCAUUAUCAUGCUAGUUGGAAACAAAACGGACCUGGCGGAUAAAAGGCAAGUCUCUGUUGAGGCGGCAGAGAGGAAAGCCCGUGAGCUCAAUGUGAUGUACAUAGAGACCAGCGCCAAGGCUGGCUAUAACGUCAAACAGGUUGGUGUCCACCGCCAGGCGGCCAUGUUGUCCUUCAGACUCAAGCAAGCUUUCUCUCUUCUCUAUCUUUUCCUGUCCUCUUUGCAAUGUUUCUCUAUGUCCAUGUCGCCUCCACACGAGCAGACAGAUCACCACGGAGGAGGGCGAGCAGAGAGCUAAGGAACUGAAUGUCAUGUUCAUUGAAACCAGCGCAAAGACUGGCUACAAUGUCAAACAGCUGUUCCGUCGUGUUGCUGCUGCAUUGCCAGGAAUGGACAGCACAGCGGAGAAAAGCAAAGAAGACAUGAUCGACAUCAAGCUGGAGAAGCAGCCGGAGAUGACGGUGACGGAGAGCAGCUGCUCGUGCUAGUACAACACCACUCC